GGUGUGUAGGCGGUUGUUUAAGUUUGGUGUGAAAUCUCCCGGCUCAACUGGGAGGGUGCGCCGAAUACUGAAUGACUCGAGUGCGGGAGAGGAAAGUGGAAUUCCUGGUGUAGCGGUGAAAUGCGUAGAUAUCAGGAGGAACACCGGUGGUGUAGACGGCUUUCUGGACCGUAACUGACGCUGAGACACGAAAGCGUGGGUAGCAAACAGGAUUAGAUACCCUGGUAGUCCACACCCUAAACGAUGCAUAUUUGGUGUGGGCAGUUCAUUCUGUCCGUGCCGGAGCUAACGCGUUAAAUAUGCCGCCUGGGGAGUACAGUCGCAAGGCUGAAACUCAAAGGAAUUGACGGGGGCCCGCACAAGCGGUGGAGCAUGUGGUUCAAUUCGACGCAACGCGAAGAACCUUACCUGGGCUCGAACGGCUGGUCAACGGCGGUGGAAACACUGUUACCCCGCAAGGGGGUCCAGUCGAGGUGCUGCAUGGCUGUCGUCAGCUCGUGUCGUGAGAUGUUGGGUUAAGUCCCGCAACGAGCGCAACCCUUGUCCUGUGUUGCCAUCAUUCAGUUGGGAACUCGCAGGAGACCGCCAGGGAUAACCUGGAGGAAGGUGGGGAUGAC
rnacentral:rRNA from 1 species